AGACGCGGAACUUGCCGGCCUUGAAGCUGCCGCCUGUCUUGUGGACUCCACGGGACAGGGGAAAACUGGUCCGGGAAGAAACCAACUCCCUUUUCUCUUUCGGGCUGUUCCGAGCCAUCCUUCCCGAAGGACGAGACCUGAGGGAAUUCCAUCUUAUUUUUACUUUUAUGUCCUACGGGCACAGGGGACACGCUCGAAUCACCAGCUGACUCAAAUUGAACAAACUGAAAUUGUGUAAUUUUUUCUUUCUCUUUUUUUUUUUUGUUUGUUGUUUUGGGGGGUGUGUGUGUGUGUGUGUGUGUGUUUUGAGACAGGAUCUCACUCUGUCGCCCAGGCUGGAGUGCAGCGGUGCGAUCAUAGCUCACUGCAGCCUCCACCUCCCCAGGCUCAACCCAUACUCCUGCUUCAGCCUCCCAAGUAGCUGGGAUUACAGGCGUGCGCCACCACGCCCAGAUAAUUUUUCUAAAUGUUUUUGUAGAAACGGGUAUUGUCAUGUUGCCCAGGCUGGUCGGGAACUCCUGGUUUAAAGUGAUCUGCCCACCUCGGCCUCGCAAAGUGCUGGGAUUACAGGCGUGAGCCACCGCGCCCGGCAGAAUUGCAAUUAACUGCUGGCUAGAGGGAGCACCCCGGAAACUCGCGUCUUUCACUGGGGGCCUCCCCACUACCUCGGUUUAACCUCGACCCUUCCACGUCCCGCCGGCUGCCUUCUCUCCACCGCACGGGUCACCGCCUGACCGACUCCCUAUGUGCUUAUUAGUGUGUGGGGUCUAUGAAAGCAGCCAAUUUGUUUUUAUUUUGUUCGCUGUUUUCCCGGAGCCUGAAACAGUCUCUCACACACAGCUCAAUAAAUAUUACUCAAUAUUACGUCCCUUACUCAAGGGAAGUAAUAGUGCGACUUAAGAAACGGACAUACGGAAAUGCAGGGAGUCAC
rnacentral:lncRNA from 10 species